AUUGAACGCUGGCGGCAUGCCUUACACAUGCAAGUCGAACGGCAGCGGGGGAGAAGCUUGCUUUUCCUGCCGGCGAGUGGCGAACGGGUGAGUAAUACAUCGGAACGUGCCCUGUAGUGGGGGAUAACUAGUCGAAAGAUUAGCUAAUGCCGCAUACGACCUGAGGGUGAAAGUGGGGGACCGCAAGGCCUCAUGCUAUAGGAGCGGCCGAUGACUGAUUGGCUAGUUGGUGGGGUAAAGGCCUACCAAGGCGACGAUCAGUAGCUGGUCUGAGAGGACGAUCAGCCACACUGGGACUGAGACGCGGCCCAGACUCCUACGGGAGGCAGCAGUGGGGAAUUUUGGACAAUGGGCGAAAGCCUGAUCCAGCAAUGCCGCGUGUGUGAAGAAGGCCUUCGGGUUGUAAAGCACUUUUGUCCGGAAAGAAAUGGCUCUGGUUAAUACCUGGGGUCGAUGACGGUACCGGAAGAAUAAGGACCGGCUAACUACGUGCCAGCAGCCGCCGUAA
rnacentral:rRNA from 1 species